rnacentral:rRNA from 1 species
AUGAGGAAAAGGCAUAUCAUUAAACCCCUUGGGUGUGUCUUUUGCUCUGAUCAUGAAACCAACUCUCACCUGUUUUUUGAGUGUAUUAUAGCAAAAAAUGUCUGGUCAUUUGUAGCUGACCACUUCAAGGUCGAGGUAGGGACUGAAUUUGAAUCGAUAGCAUAAUUCUGGAUCUCUAACAGGAGGAAUUCUGCCUUAAAUAUAGUUUCUUCAGCAGUCUUAUGGUGUUUGUGGAAGUAUAGGAACUCUAUCAUCUUUAACAACACCAUUUGGACAUCUAUUUCACAGGUUUGGAGGAUGAUCCUCAGAACACUCAAGUUCUUGGCGGUCUUGGCUCCGGAAAGUGGCAGGGCACGUCUGGAGGAUUUCUUGACAGCACUAACAACGUUCUCCCAGCAGCCGCUGAGGAUGACGAGUGGCUGA